UGGGGAAUAUUGGGCAAUGGGCGAAAGCCUGACCCAGCAACGCCGCGUGAGGGAAGAAGGUCUUCGGAUCGUAAACCUAUGUCGCAGGGGACGAGUGAGAGACGGUACCCUGUGAGGAAGCUCCGGCUAACUACGUGCCAGCAGCCGCGGUAAUACGUAGGGAGCGAGCGUUGUCCGGAAUGACUGGGCGUAAAGGGCGCGUAGGUGGUUUGAUAAGUUUGGAGUGAAAGUCCUACUUUCAAGGUGGGAAUUGCUUUGAAAACUGUCAGACUUGAGUGAUGGAGAGGAUAGCGGAAUUCCCGGUGUAGCGGUGAAAUGCGUAGAGAUCGGGAGGAACACCAGUGGCGAAGGCGGCUAUCUGGACAUAGACUGACACUGAGGCGCGAAAGCGUGGGUAGCAAACAGG
rnacentral:rRNA from 1 species